rnacentral:rRNA from 1 species
UACGUAGGAGGCGAGCGUUGUCCGGAAUUACUGGGCGUAAAGAGCGCGUAGGCGGCGCUGUACGACCCGUGUGAAAGCCCCCGGCUCAACUGGGGAGGGUCACGGGUAACGGCAGUGCUCUGAGUGCAGGAGAGGGAAGUGGAACUCCGGGAGUAGCGGUGAAAUGCGUAGAGACCCGGAGGAACACCGGUGGCGAAGGCGGCUUCCUGGUCUGUUCUUGACGCUGAGGCGCGAAAGCUAGGGGAGCAAACGGG